rnacentral:misc_RNA from 1 species
GAUGAAGAACGUAGCGAAAUGCGAUACUUGGUGUGAAUUGCAGAAUCCCGUGAACCAUCGAGUCUUUGAACGCAAGUUGCGCCCGAAGCCAUCAGGUUGAGGGCACGUCUGCCUGGGCGUCACAUAUCGUUGCCCAAUGCCUAUUGCAGUGCAAUAGGAAUUUCUAGGGCGAAUGAUGGCUUCCCGUGAGCGUUGUUGCCUCGCGGUUGGUUGAAAAUCGAGUCCUUGGUAGGGUGUGCCAUGGUAGAUGGUGGUCGAGUUAGAACGAUACCGAUCAUGUGCAUGCUCCCCAAAAUAUGGCCUCUAUGACCCACACGCGUCUUUUGACGCUCAUGACGAGACCUCAGGUCAGGCGGGGCUACCCGCUGAAUUUAAGCAUAUCAUAACGGAGGA